CCUACGGGAGGCAGCAGUGGGGAAUAUUGCACAAUGGGGGAAACCCUGAUGCAGCGACGCCGCGUGAGUGAAGAAGGUUUUCUGGAUGUAAAGCCCUAUCAGCAGGGAAGAAAAUGACGGUACCUGACCAAGACGCCCCGGCCAACUUCGUGCCAGCAGCCGCGGUUACACGUAGGGGGCGAGCGUUAUCCGGAUUUACUGGGUGUAACGGGAGCGUAGACGGCAGGGUAAGUCCGAAGUGAAAGCCCAUGGCUUAACCAUGGAACUGCUGUGGAAACUGUGAGGCUGGAGUACGGGAGAGGCAAGCGGAAUUCCUGGUGUAGCGGUGAAAUGCGUAGAUAUUAGGAGGAACACCAGUGGCGAAGGCGGCUUACUGGACUGUAACUGACGUUGAGGCUCGAAAGCGUGGGGAGCAAACAGGAUUAGAUACCCUGGUAGUC
rnacentral:rRNA from 1 species